UGGAUCCAGACUUUGAUUAUGGCUCAGGAUGAACGCUAGCUACAGGCUUAACACAUGCAAGUCGAGGGGAAACGACAUCGAAAGCUUGCUUUUGAUGGGCGUCGACCGGCGCACGGGUGAGUAACGCGUAUCCAACCUGCCCACCACUUGGGGAUAACCUUGCGAGAGUAAGACUAAUACCCAAUGAUAUCUCUAGAAGACAUCUGAAAGAGAUUAAAGAUUUAUCGGUGAUGGAUGGGGAUGCGUCUGAUUAGCUUGUUGGCGGGGUAACGGCCCACCAAGGCAACGAUCAGUAGGGGUUCUGAGAGGAAGGUCCCCCACAUUGGAACUGAGACACGGUCCAAACUCCUACGGGAGGCGGCAGUGAGGAAUAUUGGUCAAUGGACGAGAGUCUGAACCAGCCAAGUAGCGUGCAGGAUGACGGCCCUAUGGGUUGUAAACUGCUUUUAUAAGGGAAUAAAGUGAGUCUCGUGAGACUUUUUGCAUGUACCUUAUGAAUAAGGACCGGCUAAUUCCGUGCCAGCAGCCGCGGUAAUACGGAAGGUCCGGGCGUUAUCCGGAUUUAUUGGGUUUAAAGGGAGCGUAGGCCGGAGAUUAAGCGUGUUGUGAAAUGUAGACGCUCAACGUCUGCACUGCAGCGCGAACUGGUUUCCUUGAGUACGCACAAAGUGGGCGGAAUUCGUGGUGUAGCGGUGAAAUGCUUAGAUAUCACGAAGAACUCCGAUUGCGAAGGCAGCUCACUGGAGCGCAACUGACGCUGAAGCUCGAAAGUGCGGGUAUCGAACAGGAUUAGAUACCCUGGUAGUCCGCACGGUAAACGAUGGAUGCCCGCUGUUGGUCUGAAUAGGUCAGCGGCCAAGCGAAAGCAUAAAGCAUCCCACCUGGGGAGUACGCCGGCAACGGUGCAAA
rnacentral:rRNA from 2 species